GACGAGGGUCCAAGCGUUGUUCGGAAUCAUUGGGCGUAAAGCGGGUGUAGGCGGCUCUAUAAGUCAGGAGUGAAAGCCCCAAGCUUAACUUGGGAAGUGCUUUUGAUACUGCAGAGCUUGAAUGUGGGAGAGGGUAGUGGAAUUCCGAGGUGUAGUGGUGAAAAUACGUAGAUAUCUGGAGGAACACCGGUGGCGAAGGCGGCACCUGG
rnacentral:rRNA from 1 species